UUUUUUUUUGCCUUUUACAGUUCCUAAUCCAGAUUUAAAUCUGGAUAUAACCCUAUAAAUUAUAAGAUAUACUCGUCCACAUAAUAUUAUCAAGUUUUUUAGUUUUUUAGAA
rnacentral:sRNA from 1 species